UCAGACGAUGCGUCAUGCAUAUCAAUAAGCGGAGGAAAAGAAACUAACAAGGAUUCCCCUAGUAACGGCGAGUGAAGCGGGAAGAGCUCAAAUUUGAAAUCUUAAAGGGUUUCCCUUUACGAAUUGUAGUUUAAAGAAGUGUUUUCUGUUGAGGUUUUGGUAAAAGUUCUUUGGAAUAGGACAUCAUAGAGGGUGAGAAUCCCGUAUUUGACCUUUACUUUCAACUUUGUGAUACACUUUCAAAGAGUCGGAUUGUUUGGGAAUGCAGUCCAAAAUGGGUGGUAAAUUUCAUCUAAAGCUAAAUAUUGGCGAGAGACCAAUAGCGAACAAGUACCGUGAGGGAAAGAUGAAAAGAACUUUGAAAAGAGAGUUAAACAGUACGUGAAAUUGUCAAAAGGGAAGCGUUUGACACCAGUGUUGUUUUUCUGAAAAUCAAUUAAAGAACUGUUUAUGCUAAGCUGUUUAGACUUUAUCAGCUAUCUGUUUAGUUUUAGGCUUUUCUUUAAUGCACUUUUCAGUUAACAAGUCAACAUCAAUUUCUUUUGCUGUAAAAAAGCUUGAGGAAGGUGGCUUGAGAUUCGUCUUAAGUGUUUAUAGCCUCUUGCCUAUGCAGUCGGAGAGAUUGAGGUCUGCAGCGUAGAUCCUUCGGGGCUAAAUGCAUUUGUGCUAAGUUAUAGCAUUUUAUAGACAACUUGUUGACUAUGAUUUGUCUUGUAGCUUACUCGCUUAUGUUAUUUUACCUACGCUUAGGAUGUUGACACACGCGCGUGCUCG
rnacentral:rRNA from 1 species